rnacentral:rRNA from 1 species
GAUGAACGCUGGCGGCGUGCUUAACACAUGCAAGUCGAACGGAAAGGCCGAAGCUUGCUUCGGUACUCGAGUGGCGAACGGGUGAGUAACACGUGGGUGAUCUGCCCUGUACUUCGGGAUAAGCUUGGGAAACUGGGUCUAAUAUCGGAUAUGAUAAUCUCAUGGACGGGGUUGUGGAAAGCUUUUGCGGUAUGGGAUGAGCUAGCGGUCUAUCAGCUUGUUGGUGGGGUAUUGGCCUACUAAGGCGUCGACGGGUAGCCGGCCUGGGAGGGUGUACGGCGACAUUGGGACUAAGAUACGGCCCAGACUCCUACGGGAGGCAGCAGUGGGGAGUAUUGCACAAUGGGCGCAAGCCUGAUGCAGCGACGCCGCGUGGGGGAUGACGGCCUUCGAGUUGUAAACUCCUUUCGCAGCCGACGAAGCUUUUUUGACGGUAGGUUGAGAAAAAGCACCGGCUAACUACGUG